CAAAUUUGUCCCUCUAGAUAGCAUAACUGUUUUUGGUGAUAUUUUGACAUGCUUUUGGUUUCAAUUUUGGCAUUUAAUUUUGUCUAAAUAAAUUUAAAUUUUAAUCACAUUUGCUUCUUUAUCUCCAAUUGUAAUUAGUAUUUGGAUCUCGUCAAUCUAAAAGACUUUAUCUGCUCAUAAUGUUCCCAUCAAGGAGAGGAGGAAAAUUAGCUGCUUUUUUGAAUCUCUUCAGAUUCUGUUUCCAAUAUGGAUUCAUUCCGAUGGUUCUUUACUUGGGAUUCCAAAAAGGGACUGACGAAGGCAUGCCACCCUUAUCAUUUGCUUCACUAUUCAUUGGAUAAGUGGUUAUUUUAUUCUAUUGGUGCCAUAAUGUUUAUAGUACAUCUCGAUUAUCUGUACCCAGUGAAUUACUGACUAUUAAAAAUGGUCUUGAUUGCAUUUUCU